CGGGUGCGUAACGCGUGGGAAUCUACCUUGUAUGGGGGAUAGCCCGGAGAAAUCCGGAUUAAUACCGCAUAAUCUCUACGGAGCAAAGUGGGGGGAUCUUCGGACCUCACGCUAUUAGAUGAGCCCGCGUUAGAUUAGCUUGUUGGUGAGGUAAUGGCUCACCAAGGCAACGAUCUAUAGCUGGUUUGAGAGGAUGAUCAGCCACACUGGGACUGAGACACGGCCCAG
rnacentral:rRNA from 1 species